ACGGGAGGCAGCAGUGGGGAAUAUUGCACAAUGGGCGCAAGCCUGAUGCAGCAACGCCGCGUGAGGGAAGACGGUUUUCGGAUUGUAAACCUCUGUUCUUAGUGACGAAGAAGUGACGGUAGCUAAGGAGCAAGCCACGGCUAACUACGUGCCAGCAGCCGCGGUAAUACGUAGGUGGCAAGCGUUAUCCGGAAUUACUGGGUGUAAAGGGAGUGUAGGCGGGACUGUAAGUCAGAUGUGAAAUAUGCCGGCUCAACUGGCAGACUGCAUUUGAAACUGCGGUUCUUGAGUGAAGUAGAGGUAAGCGGAAUUCCUAGUGUAGCGGUGAAAUGCGUAGAUAUUAGGAGGAACAUCAGUGGCGAAGGCGGCUUACUGGGCUUUAACUGACGCUGAGGCUCGAAAGCGUGGGGAGCAAACAGGAUUAGAUACCCUGGUA
rnacentral:rRNA from 1 species